CUCGAGCAUGCAUUACAUGCACAAGCGAGGGUCAGAUGAGCUUUGAUUUGCCAAACAAAUCAAAUGAACGCAUGCCAGCAACUGUAAGGAUACAUAUCAUAGAGAGCACUGGUCUGGGAAGAAGUUCAUAAAUCAUGACUCGUUUCAAGCCAUAGCCAUGGCCAGUGGUUGGCUGAGUGACGCCCAUAUGUAUGUCCGCAGCCAGCUAUGUGGAGAAGUUCAGCGGAGACCGGGCAACUGAUACCGUAGGCUACAAGGUAGCGAGAGAGGUCACAUGCUUGGCUGGAGUCUUUGAAGAUCCAAUAAUUACUUUAAACCUAAGUCUUCUGUUCUGUUCUAUUUGAUGGGGCUGUGAGCUGUGAAAAUGGACAUUAUACUUGAAGCCUACAUGGUUAGAAGGAAUCACAACCACUUUUAAAAGUAGAGCAAAAAUAAAAGUUCAUCCAAAUGAU